rnacentral:rRNA from 1 species
GACGAACGCUGGCGGCGUGCCUAAUACAUGCAAGUAGAACGCUGAAGGAGGAGCUUGCUUCUCCGGAUGAGUUGCGAACGGGUGAGUAACGCGUAGGUAACCUGCCUGGUAGCGGGGGAUAACUAUUGGAAACGAUAGCUAAUACCGCAUAAUAGUAGAUGUUGCAUGACAUUUGCUUAAAAGGUGCAAUUGCAUCACUACCAGAUGGACCUGCGUUGUAUUAGCUAGUUGGUGGGGUAACGGCUCACCAAGGCGACGAUACAUAGCCGACCUGAGAGGGUGAUCGGCCACACUGGGACUGAGACACGGCCCAGACUCCUACGGGAGGCAGCAGUAGGGAAUCUUCGGCAAUGGACGGAAGUCUGACCGAGCAACGCCGCGUGAGUGAAGAAGGUUUUCGGAUCGUAAAGCUCUGUUGUAAGAGAAGAACGAGUGUGAGAGUGGAAAGUUCACACUGUGACGGUAUCUUACCAGAAAGGGACGGCUAACUACGUGCCAGCAGCCGCGGUAAUACGUAGGUCCCGAGCGUUGUCCGGAUUUAUUGGGCGUAAAGCGAGCGCAGGCGGUUAGAUAAGUCUGAAGUUAAAGGCUGUGGCUUAACUAUAGUACGCUUUGGAAACUGUUUAACUUGAGUGCAAGAGGGGAGAGUGGAAUUCCAUGUGUAGCGGUGAAAUGCGUAGAUAUAUGGAGGAACACCGGUGGCGAAAGCGGCUCUCUGGCUUGUAACUGACGCUGAGGCUCGAAAGCGUGGGGAGCAAACAGG